CAGAAGCAUCUGAUACCCUGAAAGUAUCUCUUCGGAUCCAGCAGGAAGCCAGAUCUACCCUACCUGGUCCAACAUGUCUUUCCUGAAUGACAGUAUGCUGCUGGAAGACUUCUAUGAUCCAGAAAUGGAUGCUCUCUCCAGCCUUGACUCCUUCUCUUAUCAGUAUCCAGGCUGCUACUACCCACAACGUCCACAGUUUCCUGGCCGGAUAUGGCCAUGUCCUCGGGGGUAUCGCCCCAUCACAGGGUGUA